AUGAACGCUAGCUACAGGCUUAACACAUGCAAGUCGAGGGGCAGCAUUUUAGUUUGCUUGCAAACUAAAGAUGGCGACCGGCGCACGGGUGAGUAACACGUAUCCAACCUGCCGAUAACUCGGGGAUAGCCUUUCGAAAGAAAGAUUAAUAUCCGAUGGUAUAUUAAAACCGCAUGGUUUUACUAUUAAAGAAUUUCGGUUAUCGAUGGGGAUGCGUUCCAUUAGUUUGUUGGCGGGGUAACGGCCCACCAAGACUACGAUGGAUAGGGGUUCUGAGAGGAAGGUCCCCCACAUUGGAACUGAGACACGGUCCAAACUCCUACGGGAGGCAGCAGUGAGGAAUAUUGGUCAAUGGACGAGAGUCUGAACCAGCCAAGUAGCGUGAAGGAUGACUGCCCUAUGGGUUGUAAACUUCUUUUAUAUGGGAAUAAAGUAUUCCACGUGUGGGAUUUUGUAUGUACCAUAUGAAUAAGGAUCGGCUAACUCCGUGCCAGCAGCCGCGGUAAUACGGAGGAUCCGAGCGUUAUCCGGAUUUAUUGGGUUUAAAGGGAGCGUAGGUGGAUUGUUAAGUCAGUUGUGAAAGUUUGCGGCUCAACCGUAAAAUUGCAGUUGAAACUGGCAGUCUUGAGUACAGUAGAGGUGGGCGGAAUUCGUGGUGUAGCGGUGAAAUGCUUAGAUAUCACGAAGAACUCCGAUUGCGAAGGCAGCUCACUAGACUGCAACUGACACUGAUGCUCGAAAGUGUGGGUAUCAAACAGGAUUAGAUACCCUGGUAGUCCACACAGUAAACGAUGAAUACUCGCUGUUUGCGAUAUACAGUAAGCGGCCAAGCGAAAGCAUUAAGUAUUCCACCUGGGGAGUACGCCGGCAACGGUGAAACUCAAAGGAAUUGACGGGGGCCCGCACAAGCGGAGGAACAUGUGGUUUAAUUCGAUGAUACGCGAGGAACCUUACCCGGGCUUAAAUUGCAUUUGAAUAAUCUGGAAACAGGUUAGCCGCAAGGCAAAUGUGAAGGUGCUGCAUGGUUGUCGUCAGCUCGUGCCGUGAGGUGUUGGGUUAAGUCCCGCAACGAGCGCAACCCCUGUCCUUAGUUGCCAGCUUGUAGAGAUGGGAACUCUAAGGAGACUGCCGUAGAUAAUACGGAGGAAGGUGGGGAUGACGUCAAAUCAGCACGGCCCUUACGUCCGGGGCUACACACGUGUUACAAUGGGGGGUACAGAAGGCAGCUACCUGGUGACAGGAUGCUAAUCCCAAAAACCUCUCUCAGUUCGGAUCGAAGUCUGCAACCCGACUUCGUGAAGCUGGAUUCGCUAGUAAUCGCGCAUCAGCCAUGGCGCGGUGAAUACGUUCCCGGGCCUUGUACACACCGCCCGUCACACCAUGAGAGUUGGGGAUACCCGAAGCCUGUGAGCCAACAGUUAAAUGAGGCAGCAGUCGAAGGUAGAAUCAAUGAUUGGGGUG
rnacentral:rRNA from 1 species